rnacentral:rRNA from 1 species
UACGGAGGGUGCGAGCGUUGUCCGGAAUCACUGGGCGUAAAGGGCGCGUAGGUGGCCUGUGGAAGUCUGCGGUGAAAGCCCGGCGCUCAACGCCGGGUCGGCCGUGGAUACUCUCGGGCUUGAGCUUACUAGAGGCAGAUGGAAUUCCGGGUGUAGCGGUGGAAUGCGUAGAGAUCCGGAAGAACACCGGUGGCGAAGGCGGUCUGCUGGGGUAAUGCUGACACUGAUGCGCGACAGCGUGGGGAGCGAACAGG